rnacentral:rRNA from 1 species
UACGAGGGGGGCGAGCGUUGUUCGGAAUUAUUGGGCGUAAAGGGUGCGUAGGCGGUUUGGUAAGUCUUAUGUGAAAUCUAUGGGCUCAACUCAUAGACUGCAUGAGAAACUGCCGGGCUUGAGUAUGGGAGAGGUGAGUGGAAUUCCUGGUGUAGCGGUGAAAUGCGCAGAUAUCAGGAGGAACACCGAUUGCGAAGGCAGCUCGCUGGAACGUAACUGACGCUGAGACGCGAAAGCGUGGGGAGCAAACAGG